rnacentral:rRNA from 1 species
AUGGAAGGCCUUCUCCACUGGGAUUUCAACCCUGGCCUUGCUGUGGCCGAUGAGGUGCGUCGACGUUUUGGUGAAACCAUUCAUUUUUCGCCCUCUCGUUCUACCAAGGAAUUUUUCUUGGUCGUUUCCUUCUCUUCUGCUUCUUUUCCUCAAUCGAAAGAAUCAGUUAGUAUUGCUUUGAAAUGUUGCAUUGGUGGUCACCCACAUGGUUUCAAGGUUUCUCAGAUUAGUGAUCGUUCCUUCUGGUUCUCUGUGGCUGGAAACAAAGUGGGACAUUAUAUUCAUGGGAUCAAGGAUCACAUUUGGCCAGAUUUUAUUUGUCACUAUCAUUUGUUCAAUGGCCGUUUCAAUGGGAUCAAGCAUUUUGAGUCUAGUUGGCAUGUGGAUGAAGUUAUUGAUAUUAUCGCUUCUCGUAGCCCUGUGGUUGUCUGA